GUAGCUGUGGCCAAGUGGUUAUGGCAAUGGACUAGGAAUCCGUUGGGGUCUCCCUAUGCAGGUUUGAAUCCUGCCAACUACA